GCGGUAGGUAGCUCAAUGGCAGAGCAUCUGCUUUGCAUGCAGAAGGUCCCAGGUUCAAUCCCCGACGUCUCCAGCA